UGUGAUGUAUAUUCAAUAUCUUGUGAUGUAUAUUCGAAAUCUUGUGUUGUAUAUUCUAUAAUCUUGUGAUGUAUGUUCGAAAUCUUGUGAUGUAUAUUCGAAAUCUUGUGAUGUAUGUUUGAUAAUCUUAUGAUGUAUAUUCGAAAUCUUGUGAUGUAUGUUCGAUAAUCUUGUGAUGUAUAUUCGAAAUCUUGUGAUGUGUGUUCUACAAUUCAGUGAUGCGUGCAAUAAAAUUGCAUGACGCAACAGAAAAGUAAGGACAAUUUUCAUUGGUUAGAAAUAACGAAAGUAGCUGAAGCGUCGGGAAAACCAUGCAGGUGAGAAAAAACACAUCAGUUUGUUUAUUGCAACACUAAUUACGAGAUGCACGAGUGUUGUUCCUGGUGACAUGAUGGAGAUAUUUCGGCCUGCUAGGGAAAAAACUCAGUAUUAAAACGUAGAUGUAUUGACAAAAUUUGUAGAUGAGCUGAUCGCCAACCAGGAGAUCAGAAUGAUCGCAUCUGCUCCUGCCACUUUAAGGAUGGUAAGAAGGAGGGGGACCCUGCAUAUUUUGCAUGGAAUGAAGGAAAGGCCAUGGAUUUCUCCGAUCCUGAAUGUACAAAAAGGAGGAAAAAACUCAAAAGUGAGGAGUCCCUGUCAUCUUCACAGAUGGACCAGUUGCAGAUUCCACAAGCACCAAAUGUCAAUAUCAAGAAAAAUUGAUAUCAGAGCACAACUACUCAGCAUCCUGCACAUUUAACUGUACUCAAGAAAUGCAGCGCCUCUCAACAGAAAUACAACUGGAAAAGGAAUUGCUUGCCCUAAAAAUAGAGUCUAGUAAAAGGAAGCCAAUAUCAAUCCACGAUAUUAAAUACAUGUACAACGAAGAGAAGGUCUCUGAUCAGCAGGGGCAUUUUCUCUAUAUAUUAAGAAGAAAAUGGAGACUCCCUACCCACCCGAUGUAUUUUGUCGGACAGUUUUCUGUACAUUGCAGUCACCAAUAUAUCCAAAUAUCAUCACGGGCCCAGACGUCAUUCACUCCUUUGAAUUGUGCUGGUAGCAGUAAGGUGUCAUCAUUUGAGAUGGUCACAGUAUCCAAUACACUGAAGUCACAGGACUCUAAUUUCAUACAUGUUCACAGGGUCUCUGCCAAAAUCUUUUGAGGAUUUUUCCUCUGCUAGAGCAUCCAUGGAUGCAAAUGAAACAACCCAGGACAUCCCAACACAUAUGGAUAAUCAGGCCAUGGCCUACAGUAUGUACAAAAGUUGCCAUACUUUUAAAGCAGUAACUUGCGUGCCUCCAAAUGGUGCACUUACAUUUUGCUCCAUGCUGUACCCAGGUUCUACUUCUGAUGUAGCUAUUGUACGUCACAGCCAAGUUUUACGAAAGUUCAAAGCUGGAGACCUUAUUUUGGUGGUCAAAGGUUUCACCAUUCAUGACCAGUUGCCCCAGGGUGUCUGCUUAAUUAUAAAAGCUCUUUUAUCGACACGAGGCCAGUUUACCAUACAAGAAGCAGCACUGUGUUACAAGAUUGCUAAAGCACUUAUUCAUGUGGAAAGAGCCAACGAGAGGAUAAAGAAUUACGAGAUUCUCCGUCACAUACCAUCUACUUACAGACCAAUCUCAACAAAAAUAUUUCAACUCUGUUCUUGUCUUGUAAACUUGCAAGCUCCACUUUUGAAAGAAAUUACUUAAAGAUACAUGUACUUAUUAUAAAUUUGCAUUGGCGUGUGACAGUAUACACUAAACAGUGAAGAUAUUCAUACCAAAGUGCAAGGGAUAAGCAAAUUUUGAUUUGUUAUUAAUGUCAAUGGUUAUAUUUGUUAACUUUGUAGUAUGUUGUAAUACAUGUACUUCAGAAAAUGAAAAUCCCUUUUGUUUAGCAUGGAUUUAUUACAAGAAUGGUUGGCAAUUCGAUUCUUCAUUUGACAAUAUAAUUUGGAAGAGGGUUUACUUAUAAUUUUAAAUUUCUAGUUUAAAGUAUAUUUACCUUUAAAGCACAACUCAACAAAUUCAUGUUUUCAACAAUUUAUCUAUUAAGAAAGACAAAAAUGUUACAUUUUCACUUUGAGAAUAACAUCUUCAAUUCAUUAAUAAAAUGAUUCUAAAUUUU